GGCAGUGUAGCAUAGUGGUUAAGGAGCAGGACUCGUAACUGAAAGGUUGUCGGUUCGAUUCCCACCGGGGGCA